UCUGCUUAGUAUAUUUUGUUCUGGAAUAUUAGGCGGCGUGGGUUGCAGGACAAUAUGCCCAUAUCAACUUUUUGGACCCAAACAAUUUUCCUAAAGCAUUGCAUAGUGUUGUUGCGGGGAUGCGUGACCCAGAGCUUCCAGUUCGUGUUGAUUCAGUCUUUGCAUUGCGUUCAUUUGUUGAAGCUUGCAAAGAUUUGAGUGAAAUCCGACCAAUUCUUCCACAGCUUCUUGAUGAGUUUUUUAAACUUAUGAAUGAAGUUGAAAAU